rnacentral:rRNA from 1 species
UACGAAGGGGGCUAGCGUUGCUCGGAAUUACUGGGCGUAAAGGGCGCGUAGGCGGAUAGUUUAGUCAGAGGUGAAAGCCCAGGGCUCAACCUUGGAAUUGCCUUUGAUACUGGCUAUCUUGAGUUCGGGAGAGGUGAGUGGAAUGCCGAGUGUAGAGGUGAAAUUCGUAGAUAUUCGGCGGAACACCAGUGGCGAAGGCGACUCACUGGCCCGGUACUGACGCUGAGGUGCGAAAGCGUGGGGAGCAAACAGG